UUUCUUAAAUCCAUAUUUUUUUGUAUGUACAUUGUCUGCUGAUCUAUAAGUGUAAAAGAAUCAAGCAAAUGGGUUAAAGUAAAUAUAUAUAAGUCUGUUUAUAAAAACUUACAAUAUCAUACUUCACCUAUCUUGUGAUAUUAAUGUAUGUGUUAAUGUUCACAGGUCAAAUGAUCUGCAUGCAGCUGUGGCCCGCAUACCAUCACCAAAGAGUCAGAGAAGAUCCUGCACUAUUGAGGAUUAUGAAGAUUAUUAUGCUAAUAUGGAAGAUCUCAACACUUAUGGAAAUGUCUAAAGAAAAUGCUCCUCAUCACCUGAAAAAUCUGCUCAAUACAGUGUUUUAAACAGAAAAAGACAAAAGUCAAACAUAUGUUUCAGUUAAUAUUUAAAAAAAAUUAAUCAUGGCAUUGAAAUAGCAUCAAUAUUUUAAUUCACAUGAUUUUAAUUCUUUGUCUGAUUUGUGUGGCAUCUGGAUCUCUCUUUGUUUUUUUUGUUUUUUUAUUAUUCUAAUGAGCAAUUUGGCUAAGCUAACAACUUUGUACUUAAAGGGACAGUUCACCUAAAAACUAAAAUUUUGUCAUCAUUUACUCUCAUGUUGUUUCAAACCUGUAUAAGUUUCUCUACCCUUUGAUGUCCACAGUAAUGUUUUUUCCUUUUGUACUACAGUAUGGCAGUCAAUGUGUACCAUCAAGUUCAUGUUUAUCAUCAUUUUUAAAAAGGAGUCAUUUGAUUCGAUUUCUUUUAUCUUUGGUGUGUCGAAGUUGUUGAAGUGUCUUAGUUUCAAACCCAAAGAGAUCUUUUAUUUAAAAAUGAAGCCUCAUCCAUGCCUUCCUAAAACGUCUCUUUAAACACACCCCUGCAGUUGGACGUCAUACUGCAGGAAAAAAUGCAUAACACUGUCCUAAUGUAUACACAAAGACAGAAGGUGUAACUUUCAUUCACAAUGUAUUGUUGCUGCCACCAUGUCGUGGAGACGCUGUGUUUUUCCUUGCGGGUGAUGGCACUUGGCCAUCGUUAGCUGAGCUGCUGGCUAACAACAGCACCGAUGUAGCAUUACUAUUGUUAGCUGAACUUCUAGCUAAAAACAGGGAUGUAGCAUUUCAAGGUUGUUUGUAAAUCUGCUUUUUCUUUCCUAUUCAUUUAAUUAAUAAUGAUGGUGGGUAGUGAACUAGGGCGUGAUUGAUAGUUCUCUAAUUCAAUUAUGUUGGGCAUUGUCAGAUUGACAACUUAGCCCAAUGUAAUUAUAGGAAAUAUUUGAGUUUAUUUACAUUCAUGUGAUUGGAUUAGCAACAAAAAAAGUGAAAAAGGCAUUGUUUUGUCAUUGUUUCAGAAAAGGCAAAUACUAGAGUGUCUUACCUUUUCCAACCUAUGAAAGCUCUCACUGGGACAGUACCCUUCCUAAUAAAUACCAUUAGGUACUGAUAUGUACAUUUAAGGUGCUAAUAUGCCAUCUCUACCAAGAGUACUACCCCAG